CCUACGGGAGGCUGCAGUGGGGAAUAUUGGACAAUGGGGGGAACCCUGAUCCAGCAACGCCGCGUGAAGGAAGAAGGCUUUCGGGUUGUAAACUUCUUUUCUGAGGGACGAAGAACGUGACGGUCCCUCAGGACUAAGCCACGGCUAACUACGUGCCAGCAGCCGCGGUAAUACGUAGGUGGCAAGCGUUAUCCGGAUUUAUUGGGUGUAAAGGGCGUGUAGGCGGGAAAGCAAGUCAGAUGUGAAAACUCAGGGCUCAACCCUGAGCCUGCAUUUGAAACUGUUUUUCUUGAGUGCUGGAGAGGCAAUCGGAAUUCCGGGUGUAGCGGUGAAAUGAGUAGAUAUACGGAGGAAAACCAGUGGCGAAGGCGGAUUGCUGGACAGUAACUGACGCUGAGGCGCGAAAGCGUGGGGAGCAAACAGGAUUAGAUACCCCAGUAGUC
rnacentral:rRNA from 1 species